CAGUUCGGAUAAGAGGCUGAAACUCGCCUCUUUGAAGUCGGAAUCGCUAGUAAUCGCAGAUCAGCAUGUUGCGGUGAAUACGUUUCCUGGUCUUGUACACACCGCCCGUCAAACCAUGAGAGUCGCCAACACCCGAAGUCCGCUUUGCGGCCUAAGGUGGGGGAGAUGAUUGGGGUUAAGUCGUAACAAGGUAGC
rnacentral:rRNA from 1 species